rnacentral:rRNA from 1 species
GAUGAACGCUAGCGGCAGGCUUAACACAUGCAAGUCGAGGGGUAUAGUUAGCUUGCUAACUAGAGACCGGCGCACGGGUGCGUAACGCGUAUGCAAUCUACCUUUUACAGAGGGAUAGCCCAGAGAAAUUUGGAUUAAUACCUCAUAGUAUCUUUGCCUGGCAUCAGGUGAUUAUUAAAGUUCCAACGGUAAAAGAUGAGCAUGCGUCCUAUUAGCUAGAUGGUAAGGUAACGGCUUACCAUGGCAACGAUAGGUAGGGGUCCUGAGAGGGAGAUCCACCACACGUGUACUGCGACACGGACCAGACGCCUACGGGAGGCAGCAGUGAGGAAUAUUGGACAAUGGGCGCAAGCCUGAUCCAGCCAUGCCGCGUGCAGGAAGAAGCAUCUAUGGUGUGUAAACUGCUUUUGUACGGGAAGAAACACUCCCUCGUGAGGGAGCUUGACGGUACCGUAAGAAUAAGGAUCGGCUAACUCCGUGCCAGCCGCCGCAGUAAGAC